GACGAACGCUGGCGGCGUGCCUAAUACAUGCAAGUAGAACGCACAGUUUAUACCGUAGCUUGCUACACCAUAGACUGUGAGUUGCGAACGGGUGAGUAACGCGUAGGUAACCUGCCUGGUAGCGGGGGAUAACUAUUGGAAACGAUAGCUAAUACCGCAUAAUAUUGAUUAUUGCAUGAUAAUUGAUUGAAAGAUGCUAUUGCAUCACUACCAGAUGGACCUGCGUUGUAUUAGCUAGUAGGUGAGGUAACGGCUCACCUAGGCGACGAUACAUAGCCGACCUGAGAGGGUGAUCGGCCACACUGGGACUGAGACACGGCCCAGACUCCUACGGGAGGCAGCAGUAGGGAAUCUCCGGCAAUGGACGAAAGUCUGACCGAGCAACGCCGCGUGAGUGAAGAAGGUUUUCGGAUCGUAAAGCUCUGUUGUAAGAGAAGAACGGGUGUGAGAGUGGAAAGUUCACACUGUGACGGUAUCUUACCAGAAAGGGACGGCUAACUACGUG
rnacentral:rRNA from 1 species